UCUAUACCACUGAGCCAUCAGGGAAGCCCCCCACAUAUAUUUUUAAUAAUGACUGUGAUGUUUUUAAUAGUCAUGCCUUCCUCAGUCCCAUUGUAACAGUCAAGAUGGAAAACAGUGUAUAAAUAUGGACUAUAUUUUUUUUUUGAGAAAUGUCCUUCAACUAUUAUUGUUUCAAGAGUGGAAAUAUGUAUGUUUAAUUGAAUGUCCCCUGAAAUUCAACCAUGGGUUCCUGGUGUUUUUAGACAGAAAAGCUUGUGGCCAAGGUUUGCCUGGUGGCUGUAUAGCAGCCAAAGAUGUGAGAAUUUAGGGAUACUCUCCAGCUAUUUAGGCCUCAGUUUCCUCAUCAGUAAGAUACGGUUAUUCAAAUUUUCCAAAUUCCCUUCCUGCUGAGUUUUUUUUCUGAGUGCAUGAGAAACUGAGAUGCCUGUUAAAUGUGUGUUGGAACUUGCAGCCAAGACCUGACCUUCGUCCCUUCUCUGUGUGUCUCCUGCAGGAGCCUCAGCUGAGUCCACACACUGAAAACACAACUCAGAGAGGAAAUGGAAGAAAGGAAAUCAAUGGUUUUGGAGGAUGAGAAACCCCGAAUAGAAACAAGCUCUCCUCAGGUGGGAUAUCCUGGCUGCCAGAGGAUGAGAGGAUACACCAAGGACAUCUCUUCCUAAUGACAGUGUGAACCUGCUAGAGGAAUCCCUGAGGACAGUCAUGUCCUCCAUCAGAGUCAGCUCAGAUAUAUGUCUCUUCUGGCCCCCAAAUCCUGGUUCUCACCCAGAUUUGAGCCUCUCAGGAUACAGCUAGCACUUGGGCUCCAUGUUGGCUCAAAGCAGUCAGCACUGCCACCGUCUCCAGAGAAAACUGCUUCUAUAAGUAGCUACUGACUGUUUCUUGGCCAGCUGGAGAGAUAAGGAGGCAAGUUUGAUUUGUCUUAUAGGUUAAUGGCUGUCAUAAUGCUUAGUGAUUAAUGGUUUCCUCUCUCAUAAGUUACAUACUUUCCAGAUUUCAAGAUUUUUCGUGUCAAAAAUAAUUUAUAUAUCGAUCUUAUUCUCAGAAUUGUAGAACUUGGUGUUUUAUCCCUAAUUUUGGAGCAAAUAACUAAAGUAAAAAAAGGGGGAAAGCAAAUUCCUAGUUUACAUUGAGAUAAUAGGGUGCUCUUUUCAUACUUUCCAUGGGGUUCUGCUUUGAACUGUGGUGCUAGAAGAGACUCUUGAGAAUCUCGUGGACAGCAAGGAAAUCAAACCAGUCA